UUACGGCCAUAUCACGAAGAAACACCGGUUUUCGUACGAUCAUCGAAGUUAAGCAAAGCUGAGCCAGAUCAGUACCUAGAUGGAUGCCCCCCUAGGAAUACCAGGUGAUGUAAG